rnacentral:rRNA from 1 species
UGGGGAAUUUUCCGCAAUGGGUGAGAGCCUGACGGAGCGACGCCGCGUGAGGGAGGACGGCCUGUGGGUUGUAAACCUCUUUUCUCAGGGAAGAAGUACUGACGGUACCUGAGGAAUCAGCAUCGGCUAACUCCAUGCCAGCAGCCGCGGUAAGACGGAGGAUGCAAGCGUUAUCCGGAAUUAUUGGGCGUAAAGCGUCCGUAGGCGGCCAGGUAAGUCUGCUGUUAAAGCCCACAGCUCAACUGUGGAUCGGCAGUGGAAACUAUCAGGCUAGAGCGUGGUAGGGGUAGAGGGAAUUCCUAGUGUAGCGGUGAAAUGCGUAGAUAUUAGGAAGAACACCAGUGGCGAAGGCGCUCUACUGGGCCAUGACUGACGCUGAUGGACGAAAGCUAGGGGAGCGAAAGGGAUUAGAUACCCCCGUAGUCC